rnacentral:tRNA from 1 species
GCCGAAGUGGCGGAAUGGCAGACGCGGCGGUCUCAAAAACCGCUGAGCCACAAGCUCGUGUGGGUUCGAAUCCCACCUUCGGCACCA